rnacentral:rRNA from 1 species
UUGGAUCCAGACUUUGAUCAUGGCUCAGGAUGAACGCUGGCGGCGCGCCUAACACAUGCAAGUCGAACGAGCGAGAGAGAGCUUGCUUUCUCGAGCGAGUGGCGAACGGGUGAGUAACGCGUGAGGAACCUGCCUCAAAGAGGGGGACAACAGUUGGAAACGACUGCUAAUACCGCAUAAGCCCACGACCCGGCAUCAGGUAGAGGGAAAAGGAGCAAUCCGCUUUGAGAUGGCCUCGCGUCCGAUUAGCUAGUUGGUGAGGUAACGGCCCACCAAGGCGACGAUCGGUAGCCGGACUGAGAGGUUGAACGGCCACAUUGGGACUGAGACACGGCCCAGACUCCUACGGGAGGCAGCAGUGGGGAAUAUUGCACAAUGGGGGAAACCCUGAUGCAGCGACGCCGCGUGGAGGAAGAAGGUCUUCGGAUUGUAAACUCCUGUUGUUGAGGAAGAUAAUGACGGUACUCAACAAGGAAGUGACGGCUAACUACGUGCCAGCAGCCGCGGUAAAACGUAGG